ensembl:ncRNA C26E1.6 ncRNA
AAUCUGCGGAAGGGCAUCAAAAGAGUUUCGGAGUGUGAUGAUGGACAUAAUAAAAAUCAUAAUAAUAAUAACCAUACGCAUGGCAUCCAUGAAAAUGCGCAUGGGUGGCGUUUGAGGUCAACUUUUGUUGAAUUAUUAUGAUGAUGUGAA